UACAGAGGUCCCAAGCGUUGUUCGGAUUCACUGGGCGUAAAGGGUGCGUAGGUGGUGAGGUAAGUCGGAUGUGAAAUCUCCAAGCUCAACUCCGGAACUGCCUUUAAGACUGCAUCGCUAGAAUUGUGGAGAGGUGAGUGGAAUUCCGAGUGUAGAGGUGAAAUUCGUAGAUAUUCGGAAGAACACCAGUGGCGAAGGCGUCUCACUGGACACAUAUUGACGCUGAGGUGCGAAAGCGUGGGGAGCAAACAGG
rnacentral:rRNA from 1 species